UACGUAGGGUGCGAGCGUUGUCCGGAAUUAUUGGGCGUAAAGGGCUCGUAGGCGGUCUGUCACGUCGGGAGUGAAAACACGGGGCUUAACCCCGUGCCUGCUUCCGAUACGGGCAGACUAGAGGUAUGCAGGGGAGAACGGAAUUCCUGGUGUAGCGGUGAAAUGCGCAGAUAUCGGGAGGAACACCGGUGGCGAAGGCGGUUCUCUGGGCAUUACCUGACGCUGAGGAGCGAAAGUGUGGGGAGCGAACAGG
rnacentral:rRNA from 1 species